UUCUUCUUCUUUAAAGAAGCAAAAAUCUGCACUCUUAUGCUUUUAAAAACUGUGACCACCGUGAAGGAAGGAAGAGCUUGAGAACUUGCUUCUCUAGUUACUAAAAUUCAUAGACGCUUUGAGAGAAAAUCAUCCUUGUAACUAGUAGAACAUAACCAUGGCUUUUAAUCCUUGAGAGGAGCUUCACAUGUUCAUGUUUUCUCCUCUCUUUUUUAUGACCUCAUGGCUGCCAUCCAUGGGAAGUGAGGUGUUUUCAUGCCUUGUUGAAGAGAAAUUGAGAAAAUAGGCACCAAGGAGUGGUUUAAGGUCAAGUUGUGGGUAUUUAAGUAUGACUUGUGGAAUGGCAUGAAAUUAUCAGGUAUAGUUAGCAAACAAGUAUUGUAAUGUGUAGCAGGUAAUACGGUGAUUCCAAGUCAGGAUUCUAUGAAUUUUGCAAAAAUUACUUGUAUACCAAGUAAGCGUAAUAUAAAAGCACUGACAGAGAGUGAACUCUUGGGGUGAAGACUACUCCAUAAACCCAAAGUCUUAUCGGGAUUCAUUUCUCAUCUCGUCGUGGGGCUGUAAUUUAAAUUAUAGCUACAUCAGCAGUAGGAGAACUCGCAAAGGGAAAAAGACCAGUUCAUGAGGAUAUAGGACUCUAGAGGAGUGGGCACUUAGCUAUUUUGAAUGUCAACGUAGACAUGUUUUGUUAGUGCAUGAAGUAUAUUAUCAUCAUGCAUGUAUAUAGUUGAUAAUCAUUUUGAAAAGCAUGUGUUUGCCUAUGUGUGUUUUACCAAGUCAAGUAGUUUUAUUUUGUAUUGGCACGGAGCCAUUUUCA